AUAAAAAACCAAUGCCCUUCGGGGCUCUUUGGUGAUUCAUGAUAACUUAACGGAUCGCAUGGCCUUGCGCCGGCGACGGUUCAUUCAAAUUUCUGCCCCAUCAACUUUCGAUGGUAGGAUAGUGGCCUACCAUGGUAUCAACGGGUAACGGGGAAUUAGGGUUCGAUUCCGGAGAGGGAGCCUGAGAAACGGCUCCCACAUCCAAGGAAGGCAGCAGGCGCGCAAAUUACCCAAUCCCGACACGGGGAGGUAGUGACAAUAAAUACUGAUACAGGGCGCUUUUGCGUCUUGUAAUCGGAAUGAGUACAAUUUAAAUACCUUAACGAGGAACAAUUGGAGGGCAAGUCUGGUGCCAGCAGCCGCGGUAAUUCCAGCUCCAAUAGCGUAUAUUAAAGUUGUUGCAGUUAAAAGCUCGUAGUUGAACCUUGGGCCUGGCUGGCCGGUCCGCCUCACCGCGUGUACUGGUCCGGCCGGGCCUUUCCUUCUGGAGAACCGCAUGUCCUUCACUGGGUGUGC
rnacentral:rRNA from 1 species